UGCAUUUAUUAAUUCAUAGAGAUCAAACCAAGGAUUGUUUGUAGAUUACACAAAGGCUUACAUUAUAAAUUGCCUAUCCGAAUAUUUUAAAUGGUUUAUUUGAGAAUUUUUAUUGUAAUUUUACUAUAAACUGAGUGCGUUGAAUGGCUGCAGUAGCAUUCGUGAAACAUAUUAUGUAUUCUCUUAAUCUUUUAAAAUCACUGAUAUAUUUAAAAAAAAAAAACAUUAUUAUAAAAAUAAUUGACUUUAACAUUGACUUUAUCAUAGAACUUGUCAUAAAUUUUUUUUGUUUGUAAAAAAAAUUAAUUCAACAUUGCUAAAUAAAUUUCUGUACAUGUAUUCACUGAAAACGAUCAAAUAAAUGAUUUUCCGAACAUAACACAUACACCCAUUUAUACCCAUAUGCUUUUCUAACAAAACCCUUAAUCCUCCUUUUUUAACUUCGCGUUUACAUUUACUUUAUAUGUUUGUACAUACAACUGACAGCGACGAUGACUGAAGUAGGCAGCACGAAUUUUGUUCUAAUUUCAAUUAUUUUUCAGUUUUUGAGGAUAAUUUAGCAUUAUCACUUUUAUAAAAUAACUUAAGUUAAAGCUUUUGUUAAAUAAUAUAUUUUCAAUUAUUUAUUUAUUUUUAUUCUGUUUUAAAAACACUACCUGAAUAAAUACCUACAGCUGUUAUUUAGUUUAUUUCGUCACAAUAUAAGCAACGACAGUUGUAUGACACAAGGUGUAAUAUUGAAAAUCAUUUUAGUGUUGGACUAAUAUGUAACUAUUUUUAGGAAACAACCGAAGUCAUUAAUGCAAGUUAACGAUUCUAAAUAAAUAAUUACUUUAAUAAUAACUCUCUUUUCAAGUGAGCGGUUUUGAGAGAAAACUAUUGUGCACAACCACUGAAAAUAAACUGUAAAAUAAACAGUGAAUUUAACCAAUUAUUGUGCUAUUAAAUAUUUUUUUUAUAACUUAUAUCUUCCUACAGCCUUGUAAGAUGUGAACUACGGUCACAUCAUUACCCUGGACAGUUACUUGCCGUCGGAGUGAUUCACUCAGUUUCUAGUGUGAGGCUAAGUUACAUUGCACGAGUGUCGGUGGGUUUGGCUACGUGAGGCUUGGUUUCAUGUGACACCUUACGGCCGUGAUAUAGCGACCAAGAAGACUGAGCGAGUGUUGGAGAUUGGAACCAGGUCUGCCAACUAUCCACCUGCCUAGUGAGUCCCUACUCGCCUGAGGACCAAGGCGAGUACCACAACUUAAAGCGUCGUUUGCUGAUCAGCAGUGGGUACCCUACACCCGGAGUCCAGGGAGAGGUUUGGAAUUGGUACCGGGUCACCAGCGAGUAGCAGAGCCGCGAGCGAGUCGCAGUCCAGGCCGCUGGUCGUGGCUGAUCCUGGGGUUGCGCCCAGGACCCAGAGGAGGAGAGAGGACCAGGCAGAAGCUCAGGCAUUCCUGGACGAGAUGAACCAUCGCCUGGAUAUGCGGCCAUAUCGCUGAGCCGCGGACCGAGAGGCAGUAGUACCCAUUGCCCGCCCGAGUACCUAUAUUGGCGUCGACUGACUGGUCUCUUCGUGAACUAGCGAAGUUAAAAAGGACUGAGGCUGCCUGUAUUAUUAGGACUGUUAGUGUUCAGAGGGCAGCCUGUCGUAAUAAUAUAUAAGUUAUAAAUGUAAUUUCCAUGUGGUUUAUGUAUUUUAAUACCAGCUACACAUUAGGUUUAAUUAAUAGCUCACCGAGGAUGAUUGUUCUUUAAGACCUGUUGUGUUUAUCUUAUGGCCAAGGUAUGAGAGAGAUUUUUCGUGGACUGGGAGCAGUGUAUGGUUUUUGCCUACUCGUGCCUGAACUGAGUUUAUUUUGUUACCAGAGUAGUGGCCAACGAGUCGCCAGCAAAACGAGAGAAAGGGAACGCAGGCCAUGUUGGAAAUUAUGUUUAAACUAUUUGUAUUGUCAUGAUUGAAAUAAUGACUAGCUCGAGUUCAUUCUGUUGUGAGUGGCCGAAGCGCUGGCACCUGCUGCACUGCGUGGGGCGCCGGACGCCUGUAGCGUCCACUCUUAUGAGCCGCCUGCGAGCUCGCGUAGGGCGCGAAUGCGCUCAUGAUCGCAGGCCUGAGGCACCAUCUCUCUUCUGCCUGGUCCCGCGGUUUUCCAGAAACCACAAGUUAUAGACAGACAGUCCUGGAGGAAGUCGGUCGGGGUGUGUCUAUUCACGCCGCGUAGCACGAAUCUGCGCGGGAUCUCGUCCCUCUGAAGGGGGCCCGAGUGUUGGGCGCCUUGACCGCGCGGUGAUACUCGGCGAUGGAGCCGUGAUUACCUGUAUUUCAUCACGGCUGCGGUUUUGGUACGUGUGCUCCUUUGAGCGCAUGAAAUACCCGCGGGUACUGGUGCCCCUGGUCACUAGGGAGGGAGGGGGGCUGUCGGUCGUAGAGACCUCCCGACCGUGGUAACCGGCCGUUCGCUCGUGCUCAGCCCUGAAGGGGCCUCGCCGUCCAUCAUUGUAGUCGCUCACUCAUUGUUCGUGCGACGGUCGCCUAUUCACUCAGGGCCACCCACUGACCUUCCCCCGGGGCUAGUUAACUGGGUUCAGACUAGGCUACAGGAAAGCUAUAUCCCAGAAAACAAUAGUUUGUGAAAAUUUUGCCCAAAGAUGAAUUUUUGCACAGUGGUAGAGUCAACUAUGCUAAAUAAUAUAUCGAAUGUUUACCGCUGUAGCCAUUGUGUGUAUCACCGAAAACGUGCAGUUAGGUCCCAGAUGACAGCGACUCACAACAGUCCAUUAAAUUGCUUCUCAUUUACGCAGUUUUUAACAUAGCCUCUCCAUAAAUGCAUCAAAAUAAUCUAGAAACACUAUUUAACACAUUUAUAUUAAAACAUGUGCCAAAUAUUAGUAUAAAAGGUAUGAUAGAAAUUGAUGAAGUAAUAAAAAAAGUGUUUUUUUUUUUAUCUCAGUCAAUGACAUAAAAAUAUUAAUCACAUUAAAAUUAAUGGUCCGAUGUAAUAAUUACCUUGAAAAAAGUUUGUGCAUAUUUCGUAAGCUGAAAUGUGAUAUAUUUGAAGAGGCUUGUGUAAUUUAUUAAAUCGCUAGAGCGAUCCGAGUGUAGCAGUGUUGUGUACGUAUUGCGACAGUGCUACAGCUGCAAAGGCUGGGGUGACUUUCGCUCCCAUGAAAUCCAGGUUUUGUAACCUAUGAAAUAUUCACCCCUAACUGAGAUUUGGUACAGUUGUGAUAUCAUCUUUUUCUAGUUACAUGUGAAAUUAACCUCCGCAAACCUUGUGCUUUACACCAAAAAGGUAAAGUGAACUUUGAAUAAUAGCUUCUUGAGUGCUCCACAAUAUUGCAUUCCGUAAACGUUAUUACUGUAGUAAACCAAACAAAAUUAUUCUAAAUAUAUUAUUCAACGUGAUAUAAUUGAAAAAUGUUUCAUAUUAUGAAAUAUAUAUAUAUUUAAUUAUAAAAUUAAUGAAAAUACAGAUAACAUAAACCUGAAUGGACCGACUUAAAAGACGUUAGAAAAGAUUGUUGCAUGAUUCUUAAGCAUUAAAAUGGUAUAUUGCUCUGACUCAAUUGAUAUGACCGGUGAAAGGUUCCGAGCGGCGUAGUGCGUAUUGUACUGCGGGAGCCUAAAGUUGCUCGGGUUGGGGCAAAUUUCGGUCUUAGGGAACUAAGGUUUUUAAUAACGCUGUAUUUUUCAACAGUGGUAGAAUCAACAUUUUUUUAGUAACAUAUCAAAAGUUUUCUCCUGCAAACCUUGUGCAUCACACAUAAAACGUGCGGUUAUGUCGUGCUUAGAUGUUGCGAAGGCCCUGCGUCGCAUUAAAAGUGAUGCGGUUGGUAAUGACAAACCAUUUGUUGUACCUGUGUUGGAGCAAAUUUUUAAUGCAACACUUACUACAGGUCAAUAUCUGACUAUAUGGAAGUACUCGUUUAUUAAACCAAUUCCAAAAAUUAAGUCUCCAGAAUAAUCCAAAGACUUCCACCCUAUAAGCAUCCUACCUGCUGUUUCCAAAGCUCUUGAACACCUGGUGCAUCAGCAAACUGUACAUACCUAUGAAAAGAAAAUCUUUUAGAUACUUUCCAGUCAGGUUUCAGACCUGGUCACAGCACCACUACUGCCCUAAUUAUUGCUAUGGAUAAUAUACGUCGUUUUAUUGAUAAGGGGGUACUAACGAUUUUAAUGCUGCUUGACCUCAGUAAAGCUUUUGAUUCGGUAGACCAUGCCCUUUUACUAAGUAAAAUUUCAGUUCUCUACAACUUCUCUCAUAGAGUUUGGCUUGGUUCGAAUCCUAUAUUAGCGGUCGUUGCCGAUGUGUCGCCCUUGAUAGUGAAUUGUCCUGUUGGCUCCUUGUAAAAUCGGGAGUUCCUCAGGGUUAGAUUCUUGGUUCACUUAUAUUUGCAAUUUUUAUUAAUGACUUACCUAAAUGCCUCAAAACUUGCCAAUAUCACAUGUACACAGAUGAUGUUCAGAUUUAUCUUCAUACCAAAGUUGUUGUAUAUUUAUUAAGCUUUAAAGUUAAAUAUUGUGAAGAGGCGUUCCAGUAACGAAGACUGUGCGAAGACAGUGACGGGACCCUAGUGCGCGGCUGAGUGGCGGACGAGUCUGCGAGUGGACAGGUGCGAGGUUAGGGGCGAAUCGCUGUUGAGCCUUGCUCCUGUGAAGAGGUGAACUGCGGACUUGAAGAGCAAUUAGUGACUUGUGGACAGAUAUCAAGUGUGGAUAUUUAAUCAGUUCUGUAAAUAGAGAAAACCAUAAAAUAAUUAUUUGGGCUAUCCUUCACGAACCCUGUUUCCCCACGAACUCGUAACAAUAUUUAUACUAGCUGUGCCUGCGACUCCGUCCGCGCGGGCGUUCGGUUAGGGAUAAAUUACCCAUACAGCACAAAAUGUUACAGAUAUGUUUCAGAAAUAUAACUUUUGAAACAUUGUAACAUGUUUGAAACAUUUCGCAACCUACCUGAAACAUCUCGGAUAUAUUUCAGAAACGUCAAAAUGUCCGCCCUGUGAAAUAUUUCAAUGAAACCUCCCUGCAACAUCAAAUGGUAAUGUUUCUGAAAUGUUUCCACUAAUGUCCCAUCAAUAUUUCUGAAACAUUUAACCGAAAUAUUUCCAUAAAUGUUCUGAAAUACAUACAAAAUGUAUCAUGUGACCUAAAAUACCUCUGGAAAUUAGGAUGACUGAGGGUAUAUUUAUAAUUUAAAAUAGUAUUGCACUUUAAUAGAUACCAUAAUGUUACAGCUGCAUUGGUCAGCUAGUUGCAGUGAAGUGCAGUGACUGUGUUCCAAUUCAUCACAGCAUGCCCUCGUACACUUCCUCUUGAUCACUUAGUGCAUAAUGCCCCUUGACCACUCCCUUAGAAAGUGUUAAUCGGUGGAUUGAUAUGAUCUUGUUCGUAUCUUCUUGUUUUCGUCAAGUUUUGCUUGUCCUUAGUAAUGUGUCGUUUUUUGAUUAUAUAAAAAAAUAGAUAUUGUAAUAUUAUUUUGUUUGAAAUUAUUUUAAAGAUGUGCUCUGGUAUGGCAUAUAAUGUAAAUUUUUGUCGUUUUUAAUGUAAUGAUAAUUGAUUAUAUUACUUAAUAAUUUGGCUUGUACAAUUGCUGAAAAACCAAUUAAAAAUCUACUUAUAAUUUCUAAUGUAAGAUUAAAAAGGCCUGCCAACAAAAUCCAACAAUUCAUGUAAAUUAAUGAAACCAUAUUCUCCACCCUACUGAGCUAAUUUUAUAUAUAUGAACCAAGUUAAAGAAAUAAUUUAAUUAAUCUAAUUAGACAUCAGAUGUGUUCCCAGGUCAGCGUACCAGACUUGCCUAACAUUAAGUUUACAAACUAUUUUAUUAUUUUAAAAACAAAUUAUGGUCAUGAAAGUAAAAUUUAAAUAAGUCUUCAGUAUGCUUGCAAAGUGAAUGAAACUUACAUGAAUGUCAUAGGAAGCCCAGCACUGGUGUCCAUGGUUCCUGUCCAUUGCAUUUUAUUUUAAUGGGGAAUUUGAAUGUGAUAUAGUGGCAGGCAGGCAUGCAUCUACAUCACUAAUAUACCUAUAUACAAUACACUAACAUAUUAUAAUAGAAAAUUCCUACUUGUAUGUUGCACAGGAAACCGGUAUUAACAUAAUGAACAGCCAUGAGACUUGACCUGUGCUCGUAUUGUGAUGUACUUUUCUCCUUAUUUAAUGCUAUAGUAAGUAUAUAUGGCUGGUGCUUAUGAUUUGUACAUUUGCAAGAAAAAAAUGUGUGCUUGAAAACCCUCAAAAUACAUGUAACAAUUUUAUGUUAUAAUUAAUGUCUUUUUCUUCUUAAACACACACAUACUAAUUUACAGAGGGUCUAAAUAUGAAACAAUGCAGUCUUAAUACAAAUUCAUCAUAUAGCUUUAUAAUCGACAUAUUGUUUUCCAUUUCACACAAGCUCAACAUAAAUGAGACUGGACUGGAAUCGGCUGUCCUCACUAAACGAAAAACUUGUCUGACCAGCCUAAAUGAAGUGAGAUGGUGGUGUAGUAGUGGAAUAUAAAUGGGAAUGAAACAAAUGUGCGUUGAGAAAUACUCUUUAACAUUGCAAUGUCACUUUUCCCAAUUGAAAGACUUAUUGUAUCAGACAAGAGCUCAAAUUGAUCCAGCUUCCCUAACAUUGAGUGGCCAGUGACUUGUUGAAGAUACAAUAGUGGCAGUCCAUAAAAAUUCUGGUUUCCGUAAUUUUUUCUAUAAAAAGCAUGUUCAAUUUAAGCACUUUUCGCGCAGGUUACUUCAGUCAUUCGGCGCACUUUUUUGUUGGUAAAAGUAUAUACAGAAGAUCUCACGGCCCAGCUUAAAAUUGUGGAUGGUACAAAUUGUUAAGAAAGCCUUGGGCAAACGCUAGAAUAAUAAGUAAAGUGUGGACAAUCCUUAGUUUGAUCCCUAUGAAUUAAAAUUUAUAAUAAAAAUCUGGCUGCCGUGGUCCAUGAUUAGUUAGUUUUUUUUUUUUAAGUACUUAUUUUUCAAACUUAAAUAUUUUCUGGUUUAUUACUGAGUAUACCCUACACUUUUGUUUGCUUAUUGUAAAACAUUUGUUUUCUUGACUGACAUUGAAGAAAAAAAUUAUUCAAUUCAAGCUCAAAUUUGCGCCGCCGUCUUCAGUCAUUCGGCGCACUUUUUUGUUGGUAAAAGUAUAUACAGAAGAUCUCACGGCCCAGAUUAAAAUUGUGGAUGGUAAAAAUUGUAAAGGAAGCCUUGGGCAAACGCUGGAAUAAUAAGCAUUGAAGAAAAAAAUUAUUCAAUUCAAGCACUUUUCGCGCAAGCUACUUCAGUCAUUCGGCGCAUUUUUUUGUUGGUAAAAGUAUAUACAGAAGAUCUCACGGCCCAGCUUAAAAUCGUGGAUGGUACAAAUUGUAAAGAAAGACUUGGGCUAAAGUUGGAAUAGUCAAUUCCCAUACAGCACACUUGGUGUAAGAAACGUCGCAUCGACGUGGUAAUGUCGAAAUGUGGUCACGUCACCAAAACCGACGUCGAAUCGACGUGGUCUUUGAAACCAUGAAGUAAGUGUACAUUGUCCACGUCGGAGCGACGUGUUUUUCUGUUUCUCUGAGGUUCGAGUCGCCUACACGACGUCGGUAUGACGUCUAUCUUUCGACCAUCAUGUUCAGUUUUAGAAAGUAAUAACUGUAUAAUUAAUUAAUGUAAAAUUAUAAUAAUAUAACAUUAUUAAAUGUUCAUUGUCCUUUUUACUAAAUGUAAUAAGUAUUUUUUAAAAAUUAGAUUUCAACUGAUGUUUGAAUUGUUUCUGCGCAGUUGGUCAUUUGCUCAUUUCCUGUUAAUGGCGUGUUUUUGGUAUGUUAUUGGCACGGCCGUGGUUAUUGGUGUUGUUUUGGACUAGUUUGGUAAGUUUAGAUUUGUAACGGCUAGGUACUAUUUAAUGCAGUUUUGUUUGUUAUGUUUAGAAUGAUGAAGUGUAUAUUUAUGUUGUGGAUUUACGAAUCCUAUCUCCAAUGUUGUAUACAUAACCUCCAUAGACACACUUCACGUACGGCCGUUUCCGAAUAUAACAUGUUGGGCUUGUGUACACAAAUGUUCCCGUCACUUUUUGUGAAUAAUAUAUUGAGGACUUAUUUUGUUGGUUUUUAAAAGCAUUCGCAGGUGUAUUGUAGAAUAUAUACAAAAUAGGUGCUUAUUCAUGAAAGAGCAGCUGUUAUAUUUUAUUAUUUUAAUUUUGUAAUGCUUUUAAUACUUUUCUUGUACCUGUUUAUGUGGUUGUAUUCAUGUUUAUUUGUAAUUUUCUUUUGACAUAUUCUAUACCAUUGUAUGGUUUAUUGAAUGAAAUAAAAAUUCAAAUGAAAUCAAAUACGAUACUAAACAAAGGUUAAGUUAGGUUGGGUACGUAACGUUGCGUGUUGUUACGUAGGAAAUCGGAAUAAUGCAUGUUUAUGAUUCCUGUUGCAGUGGUAAAUGGUUACAGGUCAAAAUAGGGACAGUGGCUCACUUUAACCUACUGAAAUGAUACUUUGAAGUUGCAUUGCAGUAUCAAUACAAGAAUUGUGGGUAAUAUUUGGGUAAAUAUGUAGAUUAGCGGUAUUUCCUUAAAAAAACACAAUGUUACUCUCCAGUUUUACCAAAAUGGCUAUAUCUCCUAAAUAUUUGGAAUUUCUUAUCUCCACCACCUUUAAUGAAAAGAGGAAGUUAAGGAGCACAAAAUGACACUAUUUUGUGAUUUUUAAUAUUUUCUGUUAACAGAUAUCGUUACUCUCCAGUUUUACCGUAUUUUAAUGUAGGUACCAUAAAUUCAUAUAAACUAUUAUUCUUAUGAUGUCACACAUUUAUUUGUAAUAUUGGUAAAAGUUUCGUAUUGCGUCUCUAAGGAGAUCACUUGAUCCUGAGGACACGAUCCUGUAAAUAUUGAUGCUGUGGUACAUGAUGCUUGCUGUUGUGAUUUAGCACGGUUUGUUAGGUUAGUACAGCUGCAUUAAGUAUACUUCAAUAACAUGCCAUCAUAAUGAAGGUAUCUCCUUGUAUACGCAAUACGAAACUUUUACCGUAAUAUUAAUAUUGUGAUCAUGAGUCAUGACGUACAAAAUGAAUUGUACGUAAUUACUUUUACAUGCUGACUAAAAACGGCGUAUGAAUACGUUAGGAAAUUUACCUUACAAGUGACAAAAUCGCACAGUGUUUUCAAUUACCUUGGGUGUAGCCGUCAAUUACUAUUUUUUUUACUGAAGGGUUUCUAUUGGAUGAUUUAAAAUACGUACUAUUUUGUCUCGUCUGAGGACAAGUUUAGGAGAAAUCGCCAUUUAUACAUUUCAUUAUGAUCCAAAAUGGUAAAGUUAUAAUAUUAAGUACGUACAAAAAUUUGAAUCGGUAGACAUUAAAUUUAGUUUUGUUUUACCAUGUUUAAAAUAUAUAGCUUCUGUCACAAAUACAAAGUUACAUUGAUAAAAGUUCAGAAUAAAAAAAUUUGCUACCAUGUUGAAAUUAUUUUGUAGGGAAUAAUCUAUUAGUAGGCCUUUUUAAGUAAUAUGACUAUGUCACUAUAGUGACAUAUUGUUUUUGUGUGUUUAGGAAAUGGCUACGAAAAGAAAAGGCAACUAUAAAUCUUCUAUUUGUGAAAGGCAUUUACGAAGGAGAAUUUGCAAACAAACAGAUAUAGAGCUCCUGGAAGUCGAAUCAAUAUCGGCUCGACAGCUUUCCCAAAUAAGUUAUGGUGGUGUAAAUGGUACAACUUUAGUAUCACAUUGCGAAGCAAAUGCACUAGAACCUUUUAAUGAAAAAUCUGCACAUUCCGAGAUACUAGAAAUAAAAACUCUACCAGAAAUUUGUAAUGAAACGGAUUUAGGAACACACUUAAAAUGUGUUGCAGCAGGGUCAGAUGUUUUUGCAGACAGUGUAUUUGCAAAUACAUGUUCAGAAGAUACUUGCAUGGCUUCCGAUUCAGAUUAUGUAAAUUACGCACAAUCUGUUUGUGAACGUAAUUUGGAAACAGGCUUGACCAGUUGGGCCCUAGAUUACAAUGUUUCACAUGCAGCUGUAACAAGCUUGUUGAAAUUAUUAAAGGCUACCGGGCUACAUGAAGAUCUCCCAACAGAUGCACGUUCAUUAUUGGCCACUCCCCGAACAAUUACAGUAAAUGAUUUGGGAACAGGAAAAUACUGUCAUUUUGGUUUACACGGCACAUGUAAAGUUAUUUUGAGAGAUGCUAAAAUGUCUAAAGUUAAUGUAGAGUGUCUGCAGCUAUUGAUUUGCAUAGAUGGUUUGCCAUUAUCAAGGUCCUCAUCAAGUUGUCUUUGGCCAAUAUUGUGUUCAGCUACAAUAACAAAAAAAGUAUUCAUUGUUGGUGCAUACCAGGGCAAUACCAAGCCUGAUAAUGCAAAUAUCUUUCUUGACAAGUUUGUACAGGAAGUAACUGGUAUCAUAAAUGAAGGUAUUCUGGAUAGUGAACGAAGAGUGCCGGUGCGUGUUCAUGCAGUUAUAUGUGAUGCACCGGCAAAAUCAUUUGUGUUAUCAGUCAAAGGUCACAGUGGCUAUAACAGUUGUACUAAAUGUACUGUUGUUGGGGAAUAUUGUGAAAGAAGAGUGUGCUUUCCUGGCAUUAAUUUUACAAAGAGAACCGAUGAUGAUUUUUUAAAACAUAGUGAUAAGGAACAUCAUUUAGGUAGAACGGUUCUUCAAGGAAUUCCACAUUUUGGCCCAGUUUCCAACGUACCAUUAGAUUAUAUGCAUCUGGUUUGUUUGGGUGUUGUAAGGAAACUUCUUGGAAUGUGGACUAAUGGUCCUUCAUCAGUACGUCUGUCUUCAACAUUAAUCAAUGCAAUUAGUGAAGAUUUGCUGGUGCUUAGGGGCUCUGCACCGGAUGAUUUUUCUCGUAAACCACGAUCACUGCAUGAGCUUAAGCACUGGAAGGCCACAGAAUACAGGCAGUUUCUUUUGUACUCUGGACCUGUGGUUUUGAAAAAGAUACUGCCAGUUGUUCAAUUCAAACAUUUUCUAGGACUUCAUGUAGCAAUAACCAUUCUCACUGGACCCUCAGCCACAAACAGUCAUGUUGAUUAUGCACAUAAAUUGUUAGUACAUUUUGUUUAUAAUUUUGAAAAACUGUAUGGCAAAGAAACAAUGUCCUACAACAUCCAUGGUCUGUUACAUCUAGCAGAUGAUGUUUUGUGUUUUGGGCCGCUUGAUACCUUCAGUGCAUUCAGGUAUGAAAACUAUAUGCAACAUAUCAAAAGACUAAUUCGAAAACAUGAAAAACCGUUGGAACAAUUGAGAAAAAGAUAUGCUGAAAUAGAAAAUCAUGCAUCAUUAUUGAGCAAAGAUGAGAAUAAAGUAAUGUUUUUUAAUACUCAUACUGAUGGUCCAUUGUUGAGUGGAAUGCAACCAAGAAGACAGUAUCAAAUGUUACACAAAAGCACAACUGUCAUUAAAAGAAGUGAUUUGAAAAAUAAUUGCUGCUAUCUUGUGAAUGGUCUUAUAGUUUCCGUACAGAAUAUUGUUACUUGUGAAAAUGGUACUCAUUGCAUCAUAGGCUACAUAAACACCCCUGUGAAGUGUUUAUAUUCCAUACCUUGUAAUUCCAAGAUCUUGAGUAUCAAUAUCAUGAAAGAAGAAAAAGAGUUGCAAAUGUGGCCAGUUGAUAUGAUUCAUGGGUAAUGUUGGAAAAUGAAGAUAAAAGGCAUGAUAGUUGUGUUCCCAUUGUUGCACACUACAGUUUCCUAAAUGUACAUUUUAUCAUAAUGUUACAGAAUGUCUCUCUCUGCAAUUGAACAGCAUUAGGCCUACUGAGUUGAUGUCAGAUCACACCUUUUUUGCGGAAUCUGAAGUUCACACAGUAGUCAGUGAAAAACUGGAAUAAUAUAUUGUUGAGUUCAGAUUUGGUCUCUCCUUGAACAUAAUUUUUUUUUCCUGAUAAACAUUGUCUGCUAACCUUAAAAUAACAUAUUUGUUUAUUUUUGCUAAGGAAUGACUUUUAGCAUCAUAGAAUUUGAGGAUGGCCUGCAGGUGGUGCCAACCAAGUGGCUUUGUGAUGAUGGCACAAGAUGUAAGUGGCCCUCAUAUGUGAACCCAAACAAAGUAAUUAAGUCUGUUACUUCUUUGGAGGAACCAAAAGAGGAUUGGCAUGUUCAUCAAGUCAUCAGGAAUUUUGGUGCAGCAGACAGUUAUGAAAAGGCCAUUCAAAAGAUGCGUGGUUGUGAGCGAUUUUCUGAUGUUGAAAGCGAUAAUGACAUAAUGAGCAAGAGGAAGAAAAGACAGACUAGAGCAAAAAAAAUCUUGGAGUCUAGUUCUUCAGAGACAGAUUUUGAUGAGAGUCAGUCACUGUUAUCACAUUUUCCUGCUGCCCCUCAUUUCACCAAGCCAUUGGCUACUUCCACUCAACUCAGUUGCAAAGAAAAACCACAGGGAAAAAAAAUUGCAGUAGCAACUAUGCAAGUUCAAAGUUCUGAUGUGCUGCCAUUGGAAAAUUCUGUGACUGUACCAACACAAGAAUUGAGGGCAGUUAGUGGUACGAGCCUCAGUGGUACAGAAAAUCAAAUUGAUAAAGAAUUCCACAAACUUAUUUUGCGCAAGUUGAAUCAUUUAAUUUAUAAAGUGGAUUCACUGGAAGAAAAAUUAAUGUCAUUGGGAGACAGGAACAAGGUUGUAGUAACAGAUGAAGAAGUCUGCAUACAGAAAUUGUUUCCUCUCAAGACAUUUGAAGAAGUGGAUCACUGUGAAUCGCUGCUAAAAGAUGCUACCUUUUGUGAUAAGUUGGCAAGUAUUUUAUAUUUUGCUUAACAUAUAUGUACUUCUAUAUAACUGAAAUAAAAUUUGUGUUAAUUAUUUACAA